rnacentral:lncRNA from 1 species
AUGAGCUCCCAGAUUCUGUGGCAUUUAAAAUCCUGCCCCCACCCCUGGAUGGAUAGCCGGUCCGUCGCAAGAUUAUUAAUUUUUGUCAGCUGAGUGGACGAGAGCAAUAUGAAAUGAAGUAUUCUGCUCAAGAACAUAACGCAGCGUCCGUUCCAGAAAUCGAAACCGCAAUCUCACGAUCGCGAGUGCAAUGCACUAAGCCACGCGCCUCUGUUGUAUAAGCACACACAGUAGCUGUAUGUGUAUUCAAUCUCAACAGUGUUGGAUCGAUCGAAAGUGGUGGCGAAAGUGACUAUCGCUCAGUGUAAGUAUAAGCAAUUAUAUCUUGAUAUACAUUUGGUUUAAAUAAAUCUUCGUGCGGUUUAAAUCAAUUCCUACAAUUUAAAUAGUUCAAUUGUUUUAACUUGAAAUUCAGUUCUAUGCUGGAGUUCAGCUGUAUUAGUUUGAGAGUAAAAAUGUGUAGACGACAGAGACUGGAAUAUUUGAGUCAGAGACAUUGUCAGACUCGACACAAAAAAACUGCUCUUAGGAAUAUUGCUCAUUGUUUCGACAAUGUGUUAUUACAAAUACCAACAAUAUAAUGUUGCCAUUUUGAUGUCGGAUCAUAUUAUUCUAAAAGGUAUCGCUGACAAUGUGGCCUUGACUCUAUAAAGAUGUGACACUGUGCAAAAUUUCAACCGCAUAGAAUGGCAAACCUAUGGCCUACAGCUUCAAGCAUUCAGACAUACAAUGGUCAUUGCAAUAGUUGAAGGGAGAUAAUCCCAGCUGUACUACUUUUAAGAGUUGUGUCCUGUGGAUUAUACGCCAGAUUAUCGGUUUCAGAUUUUGGCACCAGGCCAGCAAUUUUUGGGAGCGGGAUGAAACAAUUACAUUGACCCCAGUGCUCAACUGGUGUAUAUUUUAUCGAUCCCGAAAGGAUGAAAGGUAAAGUUGACUCGGCUCAGAACGUAGAGACAGACGAAAUGCUACUACACGUUUUGCCAGACAAGUCAAGGAUUUCUACCAUCUCGCCGCCUUCAUACAACAGAUUUUCACUAAGAAAAAAAAAUCGUGGAACCAAGUAUCCUGACCUCCUAAUAUGCUGCAAAUCCCUUAUUUUUGUUCGGAAAAAGUGGGGCUGGGGAAAACCCGCCCCCGUCUCGGAAUCAUUAGAAUUUUUUUCGUUGAAUGAAUUCCUGUGACCUCUUAAUAUGCUGCAAACCUCUUUUGGAGGUCCGAAAAGUGGGGUAGGGUGGGGUGAGGUGGAAACCUCGAAAAUUUCACCCCCACCCCCACUGAUUUUUUUCACUAGCACGAUUUUCACAAAGGUAAAAAAAAAAAUCUGAUUUUUUUUGCGUGGAAUCAAGUACCCUGACCUAAUAUGCUGCAAAUCCCUUAUUUUGGUUUGAAAAAAAGGUGGGAAGGGCGAGAGGGGAAUACACCCACCCCCGUCCAAUAUUCAUUGGAAAUUUUUUUUUCAUUGAAUGAAUUCCUCUGACCUCCUAAUAUGCUACAAAACCCUUCUUGGGGGUCUGAAAAAUGGGGUGGGGUGAGGUGGAAGCCUCGGAAAUUUUACCCACUCCCAACAUUUUAUAGAAAUAAAAUUUCUAGAGUGUGAAUUACAUGGUUCGUUAUUAAAUAUAUAUAUAUAUUGUGUAUAUUUGGUGUAUAUACAUACAUAUAUAUAACAGCGUGUAUGUGUAUGUAUGUAGACAGGUAAAAAUUCACUGACAAAGUGCUACUUACCUCUUAGCUGUCAAAUAAAUGGAUUAAUUCUCAACAAAACACACUUUUUCUCCACGAAGCGUUUUAGGAAAAAACAAAAACCCAUCAAGUGCAAACUAGGGGGGGGGGGAGAAAGAUGAAUGAUUUAAAAUAAAUUUAUCUUGUUGUGUGAAAAAGUAUGUAGUACAUGGAAAAAUGCGAGCAUGAAAAGUAAUAUUCUUCAGAUUAUAAACCUGGAAAAGUACAGGACGUUAUCACACCUGUAAAAGUAUAGGACAAGCUAUUACUUCAAGUAAAGUAAAGAAUAAGAAACUUUUUAUUUAAAAUAUUGCAGCAAAGAAUGCCAGUUCUUCUAAUUUAUCACUCUUUACAGUUCUCAUCUUUUAAAUUUAUUGUACAAAACUGUUCAGCUAAUUUGUAAGUUUGUCUAAUUUGUCACUUUUUAAGGUAGUAAAUAAGCCGAAACCUACUUAAAUAAGUAUAGUGUUAUUUGUAAACUAUAAGAAAAUAAUUUUUAAUAUUCAAAUUUUAAUUUUAGCUACAAUAUUUUAAGUAAAAAGUUUCUUAUUCUUUACUUGCAGUAAUAGUUUGUUGUAUACUUUUACAGGUGUAAUAGCUUACCUGUACUUUUCCAGGUUUAUAAUCUUAAGAGUAUUACUUUUCAUGGCACACCAAAAGUUACAAAUAACAAGACCUCAAAACUAUUAGUUACCAGGCUCACCUUAAGUAACCUAAUUUUGCAAUAUUAGGAGGUCACAGGAAUUCAUUUAAGGAAAAAAAAAAUUUCCAAUGAUUCCGGGAUUCAGGGGGGCAACCCCUCCCUAAUUUUUUCCAAACCAGAAUAAGAGAUUUGCUACAUAUUUGGAGGUCAGGACACGUGAUUCCACACAAAAAAUCAAUUUUUCUUUUUCUUAGUGAAAAUCGUGCAGGUUUUAAGUCAUUUUUAUUUUAAAUCGACCAUAAUUUUGUUGUUAUUUAGCCUCAAAUCAACCCUGAUACUGCAAACGUAUCAUCAAAGACAUUCCAGCCUUCAGCAAACCAUCUUUUUAGGGUGUGUGAUUUAGGUAGGGGGGACACUUUGGCUGCUAUUUUUAGCAUGUCAAGCGACCAGGUAGAGGCUAUUUCAUUGGUUCGAUUGUGUGAUGAGAUUUUUUUACACAUAUAUGUAAUAAUAUGUACAUAUAUAUUUGGCAGAAGUUAGAGAGUAAGUCAAAAGCUGAGAGUUUCGUGUAUUGGGACUUAGCAAACACGAAUUUGUCUAUUGUCACUCUGUAACUUGUGACAAAAUGACUUCUAAAAUACAAAAUUUUGUCCAAAACCUUAGAGAGUAAGCCCUGUUCUAUGUGACACAUUCUACCAGUAUCGGAAGUUUGAAAGUGUUUAGUUAAAAAAAAUUAAUUAAAUAAUCUGUACAUCUAAUUGAAUAGAUCCGAAAUGGAUAAAAGGCAAAGUCAACCUUGACAGAAUUUGAACUCAGAACAUGAAGACAGACGAAAUACCGCUUCUAAAAUACAAAAUUUUUUCAAAAACAUUAAGUGUAGACCCUGUUCUAUGUGAUACAUUCUACCAGUAUUCCACCUUGCACAUCUUCCCCAAUCUACCCCUUCCCUCCUUCAAAUGAGCCCACAACCUGCGUGACCUCCUGGUCCACAGUUUCUUCCCUAAUCCCACCUCCCCACCUGGCUUGUUCCCCUGCUCCUAGUCCAUGCUGCCACACUUGCCACUCCUUCUCCAACACUACCAUCCUCACAGGUACCCAUCUUUUACGUGUGCUCCUAGCAACGUCAUUUACUGCAUCUCCUGCUCAUUCUUGAUGGCUUGGGAUAAAAAUUGUUUCUUUCUUUUCUUGUAUGAGGAACAUCGAAUAUCUUCAUGCACUACCUACUCAGACACUCCCAUG